rnacentral:tRNA from 2 species
GCCCUUGUAGCUUAACGGAUAGAGCACCAGCCUCCGGAGCUGGUAAUGCGAGUUCGAUUCUCGCCAAGGGCG